GGACAUGUGUCUUUUUAAAAGCUACAUCGUUACAAUGCCUGCCCACAGAAUGUUAGCAUUAAGGUACAUAGUCACUUAAUUAUAAUUACAUGUGAAAUCCUUUAUCUAUCAUUGUUAUAACAACAUCUAAGAUUACGAACACAGAAAAUAAUUUUUUCUCAAUUCUUCUAAUUGUUUACCUGUGCGUUUGAGAGCACUACAUGAUAGUUGGUUUCACUGUGGUCUCUGCAUAUUUGUGACCCUUUCAUACAGCAACUGAGGGAAAGAGGACACUUUUUUAUUUAAAACAAAACAAAACCCUAGUCUUUUCCCCCCCUCAAAUAUGUUUGAAAAACCACAAAAACGUGCAGGACUUGGGUAGAUGAAGUAACUGAAACAACUUAACUUGCCUUUUGAGGCUGAUCACACUUCAAGCUGAUGUGUUACCCCUUUAAACUAAUAUAAUUCACAUGAUUAAUCUCUUUAAAGGGAUAAAAUACAAAAGUAAAAUAAACUUGAAAUUUGAAAAAUAAUUUGCUAGUGAAGAAAAUGUUCCAAAUGAUCUUAACUUUCAUCAAUUGCAAAUUUGUUUCUGAACUAUUUAUGUGCUAAUGAUAAUACAUUCAGUUUUGAUGUGGGGGUGGAAGAGGGUUGGGUCAUGGCUCAUGUUGUGGGGAGCAUCACCCAUGAGAAGGGAGAUCAAUCUAAUACUUUAGACUUUAUUUCUAAAGGAGAUGUUUUGAAAUAUGGAAGAGGCACUUAUUCUUAAGCCUCAUGCAUUAGGGAAAUGUUUGCAAAAAUUUCUUAUUGUUGCCAACACUGGGGUCAGCUUCAUUGAUGGUAGCAAUGUUGAAGGAGCCCUAGUGUGGACAAGAUGCUGUAGUUUUAAGCAUCCUGUUGACUACAAUUGCUUCAAGCAAAUGUAGAUGACCCAAUGUUUAAAAGACCAGCUUCUGGUCUAAAGUAGAGCUCUCAAUGCUGUAACCAAUGGUGUAGCUGAACUGGUGUUAGCAAUGACUCCAGAGUUGCUGAAACGUGCAAGUCCUUCACUGCCUUUUAUAUCCCAUUCACUUUCACCCAGAGGAUUCCAUCUAACAUCAUUAAAGCACAAAACGUGGGUGGGGGAAGAGGUUGCCCACACCACCUUUCCUCUGGUCCCCUGAGCUGGCAGUAGCCAACGGGAUUUAUUUGCAUACACUACAGAGGCCAUCGUAUUUCCUAAGGUGUGGAGCCCAAAAUUGGGCACAGUAAUCCAGCUGAGGCCUCACCAGUGCCAAGUAGAGCAGGACAAUUUUCUCUUGUGUGUAACAUACGACAUUCCUGUUAAUAAACUGAAGAAUAUUAGUGUUUUUCCCAA